AUUGAACGCUGGCGGCAGGCCUAACACAUGCAAGUCGAACGGUAACAGGAAGAAGCUUGCUUCUUUGCUGACGAGUGGCGGACGGGUGAGUAAUGUCUGGGAAACUGCCUGAUGGAGGGGGAUAACUACUGGAAACGGUAGCUAAUACCGCAUAACGUCGCAAGACCAAAGAGGGGGACCUUCGGGCCUCUUGCCAUCGGAUGUGCCCAGAUGGGAUUAGCUUGUUGGUGGGGUAACGGCUCACCAAGGCGACGAUCCCUAGCUGGUCUGAGAGGAUGACCAGCCACACUGGAACUGAGACACGGUCCAGGCUCCUACGGGAGGCAGCAGUGGGGAAUAUUGCACAAUGGGCGCAAGCCUGAUGCAGCCAUGCCGCGUGUAUGAAGAAGGCCUUCGGGUUGUAAAGUACUUUCAGCGGGGAGGAAGGGAGUAAAGUUAAUACCUUUGCUCAUUGACGUUACCCGCAGAAGAAGCACCGGCUAACUCCGUG
rnacentral:rRNA from 1 species